AUUGAACGCUGGCGGAAUGCUUUACACAUGCAAGUCGAACGGCAGCACGGGGGCAACCCUGGUGGCGAGUGGCGAACGGGUGAGUAAUACAUCGGAACGUGCCCAGUCGUGGGGGAUAACGUAGCGAAAGCUACGCUAAUACCGCAUACGAUCUACGGAUGAAAGCGGGGGAUCGCAAGACCUCGCGCGAUUGGAGCGGCCGAUGGCAGAUUAGGUAGUUGGUGGGGUAAAGGCUCACCAAGCCUUCGAUCUGUAGCUGGUCUGAGAGGACGACCAGCCACACUGGGACUGAGACACGGCCCAGACUCCUACGGGAGGCAGCAGUGGGGAAUUUUGGACAAUGGGCGAAAGCCUGAUCCAGCCAUUCCGCGUGCAGGAUGAAGGCCCUCGGGUUGUAAACUGCUUUUGUACGGAACGAAACGGCCUUUUCUAAUACAGAGGGCUAAUGACGGUACCGUAAGAAUAAGCACCGGCUAACUACGUGCCAGCAGCCGCGGUAAUGU
rnacentral:rRNA from 1 species